rnacentral:rRNA from 1 species
GAUGAACGCUGGCGGCGUGCCUAAUACAUGCAAGUCGAGCGAACAGAUAAGGAGCUUGCUCCUUUGACGUUAGCGGCGGACGGGUGAGUAACACGUGGGUAACCUACCUAUAAGACUGGAAUAACUCCGGGAAACCGGGGCUAAUGCCGGAUAACAUUUAGAACCGCAUGGUUCUAAAGUGAAAGAUGGUUUUACUAUCACUUAUAGAUGGACCCGCGCCGUAUUAGCUAGUUGGUAAGGUAACGGCUUACCAAGGCAACGAUACGUAGCCGACCUGAGAGGGUGAUCGGCCACACUGGAACUGAGACACGGUCCAGACUCCUACGGGAGGCAGCAGUAGGGAAUCUUCCGCAAUGGGCGAAAGCCUGACGGAGCAACGCCGCGUGAGUGAUGAAGGUCUUCGGAUCGUAGAACUCUGUUAUUAGGGAAGAACAAAUGUGUAAGUAACUGUGCACGUCUUGACGGUACCUAAUCAGAAAGCCACGGCUAACUACGUG